AGAAUCGUCCCGCGUUACAGGAGCGCUUGUCCGCCUGCAGAGUCAUCUCCCUGCAGCCCACUGCCUGGCCUCCCUCCUCCGGUGCCCGGGCCCACCACCUGCCGGGCCCUCACGGAGGAGGGCUGGGGAGCACCCAGACGACAGGGUGUGAGCUGCCCGGCGGCGUGGGGAGGCUGGCUGGGAGCCACGACUCCUUGCUUGGGAAGCUGGGAGCAAGCACCGGCAGCUCCCCUGACGCAGGCGGGGGCUGAGUGCUGCCUCCGCCGGGCUCUAGCUGCGGCUGCCACGCCAGCCCCACCCCAUGAGCCUCCUCAGGCCUGGGGGCGGGGAAAGGCCUUGCGCGUGCGCAGUGCACUCUUCCCGGGAGUCCGGAGCCCGCACCCUGGGCCUGGCCUCCAGGUGAGGCCGGGCAGCCUCGCCUGGCUCUGGAAGAGGAGGCUCCCGGGGCGGGGCGGCAGCUCCCUGGGCGAGGCCAGGCCUGGGGGACGGGUGGGUCCGCUAGCUGCAGCAUUCAGCAAACGACAAAGGCACACCUCUCUUACCUGGAACAGGAACCAGCCGGCUUCUCCCACUGCAGGGGGCAGGCCAGCACCGUCCCACCGGCGAAGGAACAGAGGGGCCCAGGCAGGGCCCCGCCCCAGGGGCUGAUGGGAGCUUGACAGUGCCUGUGAUGCUGCAAGGACGUGCCAACACGGACCAACUCCCUAAUCAUUAAAAACAAAACCAAACCAACUUCUCAGGAAGGAGUUUGAAAACGGGGAGUAGGUGAGCCAGACCCCUGUCCUCCUCUGUCCUGUGAGCCCCGCUGCUUCCGGGUACUGCUGCCCUCAGCUGCCACCAGCAGGAGUGAAGGGGGCCCGUGGGAGCUGGUCAUGACCUGACCUCGGAUUAGCAGCGUUCAAAGUGCAUUCACACUCAUGACCCCGGAGGUAGGCAGGACCGCAGUAUUGGCCAUUCGAGGAAAGUCCAAGACCCGGGAUGGUUAGGUGAGGUGCCUGAGGUCCCCCAGCGGGCAGGGGCAGCCUUCAAGUCAGUGCAGUUUGUUUUCACCAGGUAUCUGCCACACUUUCGUCCCCCACCCCAGCUCCCUGGCUCCUGUCACUGCAGCUGCAGGGCCUGGGAGAGCUGCCCCUGUGGCCAGGGCCCCUCUGCCUCUGAGGUUCGCUGGACAAUGACGCCCAGUCCUCGCUCCAGCCGGCCUUCUGGGCCUCCCACUGUCCCCAGGGGCUGGAGCAUCUCCCAGAGGCUGGUGGCCAGGGACCCGACAGGACACUCUAGGUGGGAGCCUGAUGCCUGGGCCCGGUCCAGCCGUGGGCAGAGCAGCCUCAGAGGCCCCUCUCCAGGCCGCCUGACCUCUCCCGCAGCACCACCCGCUGGCCCUACGGCCCCUCCCUGGCCCAGAGCAGCUGCGCCAGACUCUCUGCAGAGACCACGGCCCGUACCCGCUUGGUCAGCCCCAUGGCUUCUCCGGCCAGUGCCACCCAAAGCUGGGUCAGCUCCUGCUCCAGGAUGCCCAGGCCACGGCCCUCUAACCCGACAAGUAAGAGGGUCCCUUUCCUAUUUGAGAAAGCCCCCAUCGCUGCUGCCCUCCUGGCUAUAUAUCAUGACAACAGCCAUCCAUCACAUUAUUAUCAGUGGUAAUAUUACUGCUAAGCCCCCAGAGUAAUUCUGACAUGCACUGAAAUUUGGGAACUAACCCUGCCCUCACCCAGGACCGGUGACAUACUCGCGGGUCCCGUGCAAAAUGCAAACGGGAAGCCCCUUGUUUAAAAAUUAAGAAUUUCAGGAUGGCAAGGGCAGAGCCUUAAGCCACGUGAGAACCCUUCCAAGCGGGGUCUCUGGCGGCCACAGCUCACGCUGCCCCCCACUCAUUCUGAGCCCCUACGGGUCCCAUCUUCCAGCCCCCCCGCACCCCCCCCCCACCAUUCUCAGCAGGGGGUUCCGAGGACUCACGAAAGGUGGGGUGUCUCCAGUCACAUGACGACACCCUUGGUCGUUGCCAUUGGUUGGCUGCGGCCGUGUUUUCACAGCCAAUGAGGGGAAAGAGAGGGAGGCGUGGGCGUGGCCUGGCGCGGAGGGGCGCUGGAGGGCAGGGCGGAGACCAGCGCACCUGGGCUGCUAGGACCUGUGCCCGCCCGGUAUAAGUCACCGUUGUCUUGUCCUCUCUUUCGUUUCCUCUCUCACCACAGUAGACUGUCCCCAACGAUCCUAUCUUAUCUUUUAUGACUCAGUGCAGACGUGAGAAGGCCUUUCCUGUGCUUUGGAAAUUAUGUACGAGUAAAAGGCAAUAUAAUGUAGCUUAAGAGGUAGACACGGGAGACAGCUCACCCACCUUAAAAUUGGGAACAGAGAACAUACAACUCAGUUGAAUAAAUCUGCAAUGUUUGUGACCUAAAUUAACGCAUUCAACAGCGCUCUUUCGAGUACAAUGUUUUACAUAUAAAGAUCAGUAAAGGUGAGUCGGGGGAGGGGAGGGGAGAAAUGAGAGGGGUGUGUGUGUGUCCGAGAGAGGAAUUCUAUUCAAAUGCUUUGUGCAACAGUUUAUUACCUUUACUUAUUUUGUUAAAUGUACAAACCAGAGUGUACAAAAAAGUAUUUUUUUUUCUGGUUUAAAGAAUGAUAAAACAUAAACUCCAUGUUACCUACCCAAGUUAAGAAAUAGAUCACCGUGGUUUCCCUGAGGCCUCGCCUUAGCUGAGCUGCAACUUUUCUUUCUCCUCUCGCCAGCUCUGCCUCCAGGACAGAGCUGUGUUGCGCCGCUGUGUGUGUCCAUCCUUACAGGGCAGCAGGCUGACUGCCUGGUGUUGACCCGGAUGUAAAUGGAUGGACACACACUGUGUGUAGCUUAUGUCAUUUGCUUCUUUCGAUCAAACUCUUUUUGAGAUACCUCCACGCUAAUGACUAGAGCAGUUGUUACUCGUUUUUGAAACUUUAUUCUAUUUCUUUUUCUAUCCAUUCUACUGCUGGUGCAUAUUGCAUUGUUUCCAGCUUGUGGCUAUUGUAACAGUCACGAUGCUGCUAUGAAAUCUUUCCCCCAAGGCACACGUACAAAAGUUUCUUGUCUAGACUAUAGCCUAGGCGUGGAAUUGCUGGGUCAAAGCAUAUCAUUCCUGGGAUGGUCAGUUUUCUGUGUCAACUUGGCUGGGAUAAGGGAGGCCCAGAUGGCUGGUGAAACAUGGCUUCUGGGUGUGUCUGUGAGGUUGUUUCCAGAAGAGGUUAGCACUGGAAUCUGUAAAGGUGGUCCUCAUCAGGGAGGGUGGGCAUCACCUAACCCCCUGAGGGUCUGAAUGGAACGGAGAGGCGGAGGCAGGGCGAGUUUGCUUGAGUUGGGACCUCCAUCUUCUGCCCUGAGAGAGGGAUGACCCUGCUUCUCGGGCCUUCGGGUCACACCAGGACGGACACUGUUGACUCCCCAGGUCCCAGUUCCUGGGCCUCAGGUCUGUACUGGAAGUACCUCUGGCUUCCCUGGGCCUCCAGCCUGCAGACUGCAGACUGUGGGAUUGACCGGUCUCCACAGCCCCUCAGAGUAAAUCUCUUUCUAUUCAUCCACAUGUAACCUAUUGGUUCUGUUUCUCCAGAGAACCCUCACUGAUGUAAUUCCCACACUCCACCUGCUCAGGUAAUGGCUUUCUCCCAUUCACACCCCUAUUAGCCGUUGGCGAGAGUCCACAGUCUCACCAGAAUUUGGGCGGACUGUUAGUUUUCACUAGUCUGAUAAAGUGACCCAUUAUACAAUUAUGGUUUAAAUAUUACAAAUUGGGGUUUAGAGGUUAGGGUUACAAAUGAGGCUGAACAUUUGUCCAUAUAUUUCUGAGCCAAUAUUUGUAUUACCUGUUCUUGGAAAGGUCUGUUUGCGUCUUUUCCUCAUUUUUCUCUUGAGAUGUUUGUUUUCUCAUUGAUUUGAAGGGGUUUUUAGAGACACGAAUCACGGACAGUAACUGACCUGAUCGGGCAGCAGAUCCCUCGCCCAUUCUGUGGCUUAUUCUGUCCCGUUCUUUAUUGACUUUUGGUAAAACAUGUUGAAUUUUAAUACAGUCAAAUUAAUCUGUUUUCUUCUAUGGCUUUGCUUUUGACAUCUUAGGAAAUCCUUUCCUACCUCAAAGUAAUACAGAUAUUUUCCUAUUCUAGCAUGUUCUAAGAUUUAUAGCUUUGCCACUUCUAUAUAAAUUUUUAAUACACCUGGAAUUCAUUUUCAUGUAUAGAAUAAGGUAGGAGUUCAAUUCCACUUGCAUAACCAAUUGUCCCAGAACAACUUAUGAAAUAGUUCAUCCCCUCUUGUUGGUUUAUGGUGCCCACUGUGUCAUAAGUCAAGUUUCCAAAUAGGCCUGGGUUUAUUCUUCCUGGUCCCGCGUGUGUUUCCUGAUGCGUCCAAAGUACGCUGUUUUAGUUAUCAAUACUGUAGUGAUACUGAGCCUUGAUAUCUGAUAGGGCAAAUUUCCUCCUCUCUUUUUUAUUCUUCUUCAGGAAUUCCCUGACAUUUUUUUGGACUCUUUGUUCACCCACAUACAUUUUAGAGUCACUUUGUCAAUUUAUGUGAAAAGCCCUGUUGGAAUUUUUUUUGAAAAUGUAUUGAAUCUGUAGAUGAAUUUGGAGCAAACUGAUAUCUUUGUAGUAUUAUCUUCCUAUCCAGGGAUGCAGUCUGUCCAUUUACUUAUGCCAUUUAAAAUUUCUUUCAAUGGACUUCCCUGGUGGUCCAGUGGUUAAGAAUCCGCCUGCCAGUGCAGGCGACACGGGUUUGAGCCCUGGUCCGGGAAGACCCCACAUGCAGCAGAGCAACUAAGCCUGUGCACCACAACAACUGAGGCUGUGCUCUAGAGCCCGCGAGCCACAACUACUGAGCCCACGUGCUGCAACUACUGAAGCCCGGGCGCCUAGAGCCCGUGCUCCGCAACAAGAGAAGCCACCGCAAUGAGAAGCCCGCACACCGCAACGAACAGCGGCCCCCGCUCGCCGCAACCAGAGAAAGCCCGCGCGCAGCAACAAAGACCCAACGCAGCUAAAAAUAAAUAAAUAAAAAAUAAA